ensembl:lncRNA
CACCUCCUCUCUUUGGAAUAUUCCUGAGACAGAAAUAAACAGGAGGGUCAGAGCCCCUGCACUCUCACAUCUCUUCCUGACGGUGGCUGUCGUAUUUGUCUCUGGCUCAAUAACAAAUUACCCCUCAAACUCAGUGGCUUAGAACAGCAAACACUGGGUGUUUCCCAGUUCCUGUGGGUCAGGAAUUCAGGAGCAGCUGAACUGUGUGGUUUUGCCUCAGGGUCUCCCAAGAGUCUGCAGCCAGGACUUGGGCAAAGGCACAAUAUCCGUUCACACAGCUGCUAGAGAGACCUCCGUUCCCUGCUGUGGGACGUCUCCACAGCAUGUGGGAUCUCGGUUCCCUCACCAGGGAUCAAACCUGAGUCCCCUGUACUGGGAGCUCGAAGUUGUAACCACUGAACCACCAAGGAAGCUCUCUUAUUCGCUUUAUUGGAUUUCCCAGGACAAUCUCGAGCUGCAAUGCUCCCUCUUUCAGAGCGAGCAAAGAAACGUGAGAGCCCGCCACCUAAGACCGCGUCCUUGCCCUCUGGACAGAAAUGGGACCACUCCCUCGAACUGGCUUUCUCAAAGAGCCAGAGAAAUGCUAAACAGUAACCGAUCUGGAGGACGAAAACAAGGUGGCACGAAUUGUUCACCUUCCUCCAGGUCCCGAGCGGAGGAGGCUGGCUCGGGGCUGCUCGGGCCAGCGCGCCCCCCGAUCUUCUCCGGACUGAAGGUGAAGGGGAGGCGCCCAAGCCUCAGAGAUGCUCUCCACACUCGGAUGGGGCGGGUCUGCAAGCAAUGCCAGGGGCCGGAGGAAGGCUCCCAUUGGCUGAGGGCCGGUG